AGAGAGAGAACUGACAGUAGC
rnacentral:piRNA from 1 species